UCGAACGGACUCAUAUUGAAACCUAGUGAUUUAUGAGUUAGUGGCGGACGGGUGAGUAACGCGUGGAUAACCUACCGUAUACCGGGGGAUAACACUUAGAAAUAGGUGCUAAUACCGCAUAAGCGCACGGCUCCGCAUGGGGCAGUGUGAAAAACUCCGGUGGUAUACGAUGGAUCCGCGUCUGAUUAGCUAGUUGGCGGGGUAACGGCUCACCAAGGCAGCGAUCAGUAGCCGGCCUGAGAGGGUGGACGGCCACAUUGGGACUGAGACACGGCCCAAACUCCUACGGGAGGCAGCAGUGGGGAAUAUUGCACAAUGGGGGAAACCCUGAUGCAGCGACGCCGCGUGAGUGAAGAAGUAUCUCGGUACGUAAAGCUCUAUCAGCAGGGAAGAUAAUGACGGUACCUGACCAAGAAGCCCCGGCUAACUACGUGCCAGCAGCCGCGGUAAUACGUAGGGGGCAAGCGUUAUCCGGAUUUACUGGGUGUAAAGGGAGCGUAGACGGCAGCACAAGUCUGGAGUGAAAUCCCGGGGCUUAACCCCGGAACUGCUUUGGAAACUGUGCGGCUGGAGUGCAGGAGGGGUAAGCGGAAUUCCUAGUGUAGCGGUGAAAUGCGUAGAUAUUAGGAGGAACACCGGUGGCGAAGGCGGCUUACUGGACUGUAACUGACGUUGAGGCUCGAAAGCGUGGGGAGCAAACAGGAUUAGAUACCCUGGUAGUCCACGCCGUAA
rnacentral:rRNA from 1 species